rnacentral:lncRNA from 1 species
CUAAAAUUAGAUCACCACUCUAAUAAAGACAUGACAAUAACAAAGAUAAUUUGAAUUUUCCAUUAUUUACAGUUUCUUCAGUACCUAUUAUAUUCCAGAUUGCACUAGGCAAUCUCUCCCAUGGGGCAGGCAUAAUUAUAUUCCUCCCGAAAAUGAGAAAGCUUGGUCAGGAGUAUAAACAACUUAAGAGUAGAUAACAGGUAACAACGUCUAUGUAAGUUCAUUGUUAGGUGUUUUUUCUUGUUUGUUUGUUUACGUAUGCUGUGUUCUAACUAGACCCUUUGUUACUACAUAGCUAUUGCCUUUAUAUUCUACCCACAUUCAAGCUUGUUGAGAUAACACAGUUUCCCGAAGUGAUAAUAACAUAUCCAUUUUGCCACAUUCAGCAUUUAAUCUUCUUACUGGUUUCUCCUUAUUUACUAGUAAUAUUCUUAAGACAAAACUUGUCAAUAGAAGAAAGCGGUGUGGAUGUUCACGAGAACAGGAAUGAAACAACAGGUAAUUUUGUAGCUUGGAAGUUCCUAAAAAUAACAGCUCGUAUUUGACCGAUACCAUACAUUACAUUAGUAAAGGCUCCUAACAACCCAUAUAUUCAGAGAGUAUGAGCUUUCUGACUUUAUGUUUGACAACCCUGGGGAAUGGGAGGGUUAAGCAACUCACUUAGGGUCAUACACCAAGUAAGAGGCGACAGUGGAAAUUGUACCUGUGGCCUGACCUCAGAGCCGAUGAUCUUAACCACUAGGUCACACUUCCACACUUAGAGGAAACAAAAUAAGUAUUCUGAAGCCAAUGAUCGUGAAUCACUUACCUGACACACUCCACCCCAACACAGAUGUUGCUGCUAGAAUAUUCAAGAAUUAACAGCCAAAUAUCAAGUUAAGAAGUAAUAUACGCACCUAAGUGAAACAGUGGAUGAUUUUAGUGAGCAUGUCAAACAGUUAACUUUUGACUGAAGUUAAUUAGUAAAACUGAAAUAUAAAAUAAGUUUCUAAAUAUUUAUCAUAUUCACUACUAAGAGGUUAAUCUUGCUUCACAAAGCAGUGUGCGUUAAUAAAGACACUGUGGUUGAAUGACUGUAGUAAAAUAUGAUUGUGGAUGGUGCACAUGCUCCCAGAUCACCAAUUUUAAGCAACCUGGAAAAUCCUUCUGGAAAAUGUUACCCAACAGAUUGCACUAAGUAAGCAAGUAUAUACUUUGGCAAUUGGAAAUUUUCCGUAGUACUGGUCAUCAAUUUAGGGCGACAAAUUAUAUUUGCUUUGCAGUUUACAAGUUGUUUGAGGUAAAAACUCCUUUCGAUAAGUUUGAUAUUGUUGGAUAUGUACUAGAAUCAACACUACUGAUGAGCUUGAGAAAAUUCAGGAAUAGUUUUGACUCUUCACACCAUCUGAUUAUGUGCACUUAAAUUAUUCUGUCAGUGCCUUAAAAAGUAAGAUGUGGCUGCAUAAAUGAUUUUAAUGGUCUUUUCCUAUUCUAACACUCCAUGAUUCCAUUUAUGCUCCCUACAACUGGUCAUGGAUUUCCAAUUCUUGAUAUCAGAAUGGAGAGUGUCAAAAACCUCAGAAUUAUAGCAAAUCCAUUCAUUGUUCUCACAAUGAUAAUCAGAGACUUUUGUGCAUUUAUGAUGACUUGUGCGUGUGCGAUUUGUUGUGGUGGGUGGAAACAGGAGAGAACUAUAACACUUAUUUAUUUCAUCUUUCUCUUUACUUCAGAGAAACCAGAUCUGUUAAAGUGCCCAAAAGAUUGGCGUCUACUCCGAGAAAAAUGCUUGUUUUUUUCUCUCGCUUCCAACACUUGGAACUACAGUCUAGCUGACUGUUCCACAAAAGAAUCCAGUUUGCUGCUUUUUCAAGAUCCAGAAGAAUUGGUAAAUAAUUAAAUAAGAUACCUUAAUAGAACUUAGCACUUUUUUCUAACCUUACCACGGCCUUUGGGGUUCAGCCCAAAGGGGCUAUGCAGAUACAAGUAGCAACUUUGACUUCAAGAAGCUCACAAUCUGAGAGACGAAACAGACAUAUAAGGAAAUAAUUGAAUGUAAUUUGAUGAAUGCAACAAUAUAAAUAUAGAGAGUAAUAUCACAAAGAAGGAAUAAUCAACUCUGAUGCGGAGUUAGGAAAGUCAUCAUAGAUGAGGUAAGACUUGAACUCAGUUUUAGAGAAAGAGUAGAAAAAUGCAAACCAUGAAUAGAUCACACAGAUUCAGUAUUCCGCCAUUUUGUUUGCUUUAUUUAUAGAGACACGUACAAAGCCUGAUACCUAAAAAAGAAUUUCUGUUUUGGAUUGGAUUAAAUUUAACAUUAUCAGAGAAGAAAUGGAAGUGGAUAAAUGGGUCAUUUUUAAAUCCAAACGUGUGAGUAUUCGAUAAGCCAAUUUGAAUAUUCACGCUAU